rnacentral:rRNA from 1 species
UACGGAAGGUCCGGGCGUUAUCCGGAUUUAUUGGGUUUAAAGGGAGCGUAGGCCGGGGAUUAAGCGUGUUGUGAAAUGUAGACGCUCAACGUCUGCACUGCAGCGCGAACUGGUUUCCUUGAGUACGCACAAAGUGGGCGGAAUUCGUGGUGUAGCGGUGAAAUGCUUAGAUAUCACGAAGAACUCCGAUUGCGAAGGCAGCUCACUGGAGCGCAACUGACGCUGAAGCUCGAAAGUGCGGGUAUCGAACAGG